rnacentral:lncRNA from 1 species
AAGAGGGGGUGGUGCUUCAGCCUGGCGCCAGGGACGCUGCCAGCAUGCAGGCCCCGACGGAAGCCGAGACUGCGCUUCGUGCGAGGCCCGGGCAGCAUCGGCGGCGUGGUCAGAGCGAGUCUCGGAGAAGAUGUGGUGGCUUCCGUUUGUUGGUGGAGGAGGUGGCAGGCCUCGGCGAUGCUUUUUUAUUUGGAAAGUAGUUUUCUUUGCUAUGCAGAAACUUUUCACGUUGAUGUAGUCCCAUAUUUUUUUUUUUUUGCGUUUUAUGCGUGUCAUAAUGGUCACCCAUAUUAGAAAAUAUGCAUCAGUAACAAAGCAUUUAAUUGUCAGUGAGGUUUUUCUUCCAGGGUGUUUGUUUCUUUUCCUCUUUGCAAAGGUUAACAGAGAUUCAAGUGACCCAAAAUAUAUGCUCAACCUGUGUUUUACUUAAGUAAACACAGUAAUUUUUUAAAAAACAUUUUGUGGUUUAUGGUAUUUUGUUUUGGCCUUCAGUUGAUGGGGGGGGCGGUUGAUUUUCAUACAUCGUGUAAAAUAAGGGUCCUGUUUCUCGCUUUUGCAUCCGGAUAUCAUUUUUCUCAAAGCUAUUCAUUGAUCAGACUCUGCCUUCCACGUUGUGGUGUUCUUUAUCAAAGUCAGUUGACUGUGUCCAUAUUUGUGUUGUUUUUGUCCUCCCUGUUUUUGUCCAUAGUUCUAGGUAUUUCUUUUUAUGCAAGUACCAUAUAUCUACUGCAUAACUACAACUUGGCAAUUUAAUUUGAUAUCAAGGAUUAUGGGUUCUCACUUUGAUUGUAUUUCUCAAGAUUCCUUUAGAUAUUCAUUGCUUUUGUGGUUCCCUGUGAUUUUUAGCACUAUGUAUUUAUUUCUGUUAAUUUUUUUACAACAUAAAGGGCCAUAAUUAGGGGUACAUUUUUAUACAUAUAUAUUGGGUAAUGAUCAAAUCAGGGUACUUAGGAUCUCUAUUCCCUCAUACAGGUAUUAUUUUUGUGUAAAGAGAACAUUCAAAAUUCUCCUUGCUCUUUAGAAAAAUGUAAUACGGUUAAGUCCAGUCACCAGGCUGAGGAGAACACUCAGAUUUAUUCUUUUAAUGUUAAGAUAACUUUGUUUCCAUAACCAAUCCUUCUCCAUUCCCCUUCUGUCUCCCGGACUCUGGUAACCAAUAUUGUGCUUUCUACUUCUUUAAGAUAAACAUCUUAAGAUUUCACAUGAGUGGUAUCAUGCAGUGUUUGUCUUUCUAGGCCUAGCUCAUCACAUUUAACAUAAUGUUUUCCAGGUUCAUCUGGGUUGCUCUAAAUGACACUGUUUGAUUAUUCUGAUAGCCGAAGAAUAUUCCCCAGUGUAUGUAUAUGAGAGUUUCUUGAUCUCUUUAUCUGUGGGUGAACAGGUAGGUUGAAUGUAUAGCCAGUAGUGGGACUGCUAGAUGGUAUGGUAUUUCCUUUUUUUUUUUCUAUUGUUUGCAGGACCCCCAACUGUUUUUUAUAGUGUUAAUACCAAUUUACAUUUCCACAAACAGUCCCCCUUUCUGGAAAUUCAUACUAGGAAUUUUCUUUUUAAAUAUUUUAAUCUUUUUGUGAUGUUCAUUCUAGUUGGAGUGAGAUAAGAUCUGAGAGUGGUUUUGAUCUACAUUUUUCUCAUGAGUAGUAAUGUUAACCACGUUUUUAUAAAUGUUGAAUCUGUUUUCUGUCUUCUUUGCACAAAUAUCUACUCAGGUUAUUUGCCCAAUUUUGGUCUGGUUAUUUCUCUGUUGUUUUGUUUUUUUGCCAGCUGUUAGUGUUACUGGCUUGUGCCUUUUCAAAAGUAACCUGUUAUCCACUGUAUGUUUGCCCAAACUUUUCUUAUAAGUUUUAGUAUGCCUUUUCAUUUUGUUCGUUCUUUCCUUUUUUGGGCACAAAUUCUUCAGUUUGAUGAGGUACCACAUGUGUAUAAUUUCUUGGUUAGUGUGCUAUUGUUUACUAAUCAAGAAAAAACAAAAUCAGUGCCAAAGCAGUCCAUUGUCAGUGAUUUUUCCCUUGUAUUUUUGUUACUUUUUGCAAACUGUGAGCAUACAUCCAAGUUUCCCUAAAUAUACACACACUCGAGGUUGUGUUUAUAAGAGCUUUAUGGUUGCAAGUUUUGUGAAUUAUUUCUGUAUUAUUUAGUACCACACUUUUUGUAUUAUUUAGUACACUAAAUAUAUUUUGUAUUAUUUAGUAUAAAUACAAAAUAAUACAAAAUAAAAAUAUUUUUUAUUAUUUAGUACACACUAUUUGUAUUAUUUAGUACCACACUUUUUGCAAACCGUGAGCAUACAUCCAAGCUUCCCUAAAUAUACACACACUCGAGGUUGUGUUUAUAAGAGCUUUAUGGUUGCAAGUUUUGUGAAUAAUCUUUAAUCCUUUUGAGUUAAAGUGUUUUUUUUGGUACCACAAGAGUCCUGUAUUAUUUAGUACCACAAGAGUCCUGUAUUAUUCUUUUGCAUAUGGAUAUCUAGUUUUGGAAACCUUCCCCAUUGUGUUGUUUUGGUGGUGUUUUGAAAAAUGUGUUCACUCUGUGUAAAUUUGUGUUUAUUAUUGAGCGCUCUCAUUUUGCUCACUGGUCUGUGUUUCUCUGUGUAUGCCAGUAACAUAUGGAUUGGUUAACUAGGGAUUUUCGUUUAAUUCGAACUCAGGGAAUGUGAUGCAGCCCAUAUGGUUUGUAUUUCUCAGGAUUGCUUUAGAAAUUCAGGGUGUUUCGUAUUUCCACAUAAAUUUUGGCAUUGUUUCUUUGUAUUUCUUAAAACACUAUUUGCCAUACACUAAGUGUAUAUAAGUAGAGGGUACAAGGAAGAUUUCGAUACAUGUAUAUGUUGAGUAAUGAAAAAAUCAAGUUAUUUAGCAUCUCUUCACCUCAUAGUUACUACUUUUUGAGUGGUAACAACAUUCAGAAUCUUUCCUUCUAGCUACUUUGAAAUAUAUGAUACAUUUGUAUUAAGGCUAGUCACCCUGCUGUAGAAUAGAAGACCAGAAUUGAUUACUGUCAUCUAAGAGUAACUUUGUACCCAUUACUGAUUCCUUCCCCGACCCUCUCCACCUCCCCAGCAGCCUCUGGUAAUCCCUAUUGAACUUUCUACUUCUAGGAGAUAAAGCUUUUUUCAGUCUACAUGUCUGAGAUCACGUGGCAUGGGACUUUCUCUGCCAGGCUCAUUUGUUGGACCUGAUGUUCUCCAGGUUUCUUCAUGUGGCUGCAGAUGGCAGGAUUUCCCAAAGCUUUAUGGCUGAAACAUAUUCCGUGGUGUAUCUGUAUGGCAGUUUCUUCAUCCCUGAAGCUGUGUACGGACAGGUAGGUUGGUUUUGUACCUUGGCCACAGUUAGGGGUGCUUUAGUACCCAUGGGAAGGCAGGUAACUCUCUUCAACCUAGGGAUUUCAAGUGCUUUAAUUGUGGAACCAGUGAUGGGGCUUCUAGCUGACAUGGUAGUUGUACUGUGAAUUUUUUCAGGAACCUCUAGCUGUUUUUCAUAGUGUGUAUACUAAUUUACAUCCCCACCAAUAGCAUUUAAGAGGUUUCUCUUCUGUAAGUCUACACUGGCUGUCACCUUUAAAAAUUUGUGUUUUGUUUGUCUUUGGUAGUAUUCAUUCUGAGUGGAAUGAGAUGGACUCUUAGUGUGGUUUUUGUGGACAUUUUUGUGAGGAUUGGUGAUGUCGAGAAAGUUAUUUGAGAAAUCCCCACAUCGUUUUCCAUGGUGUCUGAACUAGUUUGCAUUUCUACCAACAGCAGACCAGCAUCCUCUCCUCCUCUGCCUCGCUGGCAUUCAUUCUUGUGGACUGUGUCAUAAUUGUCAUUCCGACCAGUGUGAAAUACUAUCUCAUGGGCCUUUUGCUUUGCAUUUCUCUGAUGAUUACUGAGGUAGAGAAAUGUCCUGUCCGUUGGUUGCUAUAAACCUUCCUUUGAGAUGUGUGUUUUCAUGCCCUUUGCCCUUUCUUCACUGAGUUUUUGUUUUGCUGAUUUAUUUGCUUAACAUUUUUGAGGUAGAUCCUGGAAAUCAGACUUCAUGAGAUGCAUAUGUGGGGACAUUUUCUCCCAUUGUGUAGGCUUUCUGUUUACUCUGUUGGUAAUUUCUUCUGCUGUUCAGCAGCUCUUUUAUAUAUUAGGUCCCACUUGUCAAUAAUUGUUUUAGUUGCACUUGCUUUUGGGGACUUAGGCAUAUCCAUGCUGUGCCAAAUCCUCUGUCAGGAAGUGUAUUUCCUAGGUUCCCUUGCAGGCUUUUAAUAGUUUGAGGUCUUGCAUUUACAGCUUUCAUUCAUCUUGCGUUAAUUUCUGUACAUGGUGAGACACAGGGGCCCACUGUUUUUCUUCUGCAACUGGCUAGCCGUUUUAUCCCAGCACCAUCUAUUGAGAGGAGGGAGUUCUUUCUCCAAAGCUUGUUUGUGUGGUUUUUGUUGAAGAUGAAGAAAUAGUGUCAACCUGGUGUUUGAUGUCCAAUGUUCACCAGGCUCCAGGUGGACACCUCUAGAAGUAGAUCUUUACAGAUGAGAACCUGGAACUGGUUUGCUGACCCGUUUUAGUCGGAAUGAAUUCCUGACCUUCUUGUCAGGAGGAGACAGAAACCUGAUCAUCUGUAGUGUACGGUGGUAUCGUGAUUACUUAAAUCAUCAAAUGUGGUUAUUGGGAAUGAUGUGUUUUUUCAAGUGGUAUAUGAGAGGUAAAAUUGCUAUUGUAGUUGACUGUUGCAGUUAUAAUUUUGUCAACAUGGUCUGUAAGAGUGCAAUGGAGUCGGCCCGGCGUGGUGGCUCACGCCUGUAAUCCCAGUACUUUGGGAGGCCAAGGCGGGCCGAUCAUGAGGUCAGGAAGCCCCAGAAGAUGUUUCUCUAAGAAAUUAAGGAUUCGUUUGUUGGGGAGGGCUGCUGGCAUGUUUGAAAAGUACUGUGACGGCUGA